AUCCUGGCUCAGGAUGAACGCUGGCGGUAUGCCUAACACAUGCAAGUCGAACGGUCUCUUCGGAGAUAGUGGCGGACGGGUGAGUAACACGUGAGAAUCUGGCUUCAGGAUGGGGACAACAGUUGGAAACGACUGCUAAUACCCGAUAUGCCGAAAGGUGAAAGAUUUAUCGCCUGAAGAUGAGCUCGCGGCUGAUUAGCUAGUUGGUGGGGUAAGAGCCUACCAAGGCGACGAUCAGUAGCUGUUCUGAGAGGAAGAUCAGCCACACUGGGACUGAGACACGGCCCAGACUCCUACGGGAGGCAGCAGUGGGGAAUUUUCCGCAAUGGGCGAAAGCCUGACGGAGCAAUACCGCGUGCGGGAGGAAGGCCCUUGGGUCGUAAACCGCUUUUCUUAGGGAAGAAACCUGACGGUACCUAAGGAAUAAGCCUCGGCUAACUCCGUGCCAGCAGCCGCGGUAAUACGGAGGAGGCAAGCGUUAUCCGGAAUUAUUGGGCGUAAAGAGUCCGUAGGUGGUUCAUCAAGUCUGCUGUUAAAGAGUGCAGCUCAACUGCAUAAAGGCGGUGGAAACUGUUGAACUAGAGUAUGGUAGGGGUAGGGGGAAUUCCCAGUGUAGCGGUGAAAUGCGUAGAGAUUGGGAAGAACACCGGUGGCGAAAGCGCCCUACUGGGCCAUAACUGACACUGAGGGACGAAAGCUAGGGUAGCGAAUGGGAUUAGAUACCCCAGUAGUCCUAGCCGUAAACGAUGGAAACUAGGCGUAGCUUGUAUCGACCCGAGCUGUGCCGAAGCUAACGCGUUAAGUUUCCCGCCUGGGGAGUACGCACGCAAGUGUGAAACUCAAAGGAAUUGACGGGGGCCCGCACAAGCGGUGGAGUAUGUGGUUUAAUUCGAUGCAACGCGAAGAACCUUACCAAGGCUUGACAUCCCGCGAAUCUCUUGGAAACGAGAGAGUGCCUUAGGGAGCGCGGAGACAGGUGGUGCAUGGCUGUCGUCAGCUCGUGUCGUGAGAUGUUGGGUUAAGUCCCGCAACGAGCGCAACCCUUGUCCUUAGUUGCCAGCAUUAAGUUGGGCACUCUAGGGAGACUGCCGGUGACAAACCGGAGGAAGGUGAGGAUGACGUCAAGUCAGCAUGCCCCUUACGUCUUGGGCUACACACGUACUACAAUGGUUGGGACAAAGGGCAGCAAGCUCGCGAGAGUAAGCGAAUCUCAUCAAACCCAGCCUCAGUUCAGAUUGCAGGCUGCAACUCGCCUGCAUGAAGGAGGAAUCGCUAGUAAUCGCAGGUCAGCAUACUGCGGUGAAUCCGUUCCCGGGCCUUGUACACACCGCCCGUCACACCAUGGAAGCUGGCAACAUCCGAAGUCGUUACUCCAACUGUUUACAGAGGAGGGCGCCGAAGGUGGGGCUAGUGACUGGGGUGAAGUCGUAACAAGGUAGCCGUACCGGAAGGUGUGGCUGGAUCACCUCCUUU
rnacentral:rRNA from 2 species